rnacentral:lncRNA from 1 species
AGCUUUCAGUUGCCGCUUCAGAGGGGCAAAGUCCGAAUACUUCUUAGGAAUUAUAACCCUGAUUGUUCCAGGCUGUUUCUCGGACAUUCACGUGUUUCCCUUAACUGGAGAAGACACCGCGGUGCAGUCGCCUCCCUUCUGGGACUGGAAGAUGAGAUAUUUUAGCGAUAAAGAAUGGCAAUCCAGCCUGAGAUGAGUUUCCCCGCUGUGGUGCAUCUCUUGAAUUUUAAACACAAGCUGUGUUUCUUCAAUCCUCAAGUUUAGUAGAAGUGACUGGCCCCUGAUUCCGAAUGCAUAUGUAUCCAAAGGCAGUAGAAAUGUGUGUGUGACCAAGAGUCAAGUUCUGAGCUUCUAUAAGAGGGAUGAGUGACUAGAAGUGACAAUGAACUCUUCUUCACCAAGGUGCUUCACGGGGCUGCCUUCUGGGAACCUUCAGUUGUGCAUUAGGCAAACAUUACAAAAGCACUGAUAAAAUUCUAAGUAAAAGGCAAGGAAAACCAUUCAUGAUUCCAUCGCCCCAAGAACAGUCAAGCUGUUUGCAGAUUUUCCUCACUCUCUUUUGCUCAGAGCCACGUGAAUAUACAACGUCACUGGCAUAAUUACAGCAGAGAGACAUUUUGCAUCCAUUUAUUCCCCUUGCACAUCAUAUGAGCCCUGAGCCAACUUCUAAGAAGUUUUCUGCCCUAAAGCCACAGUGCUGGAGAGAGAGAGAGAGGAUGUGCCAAGAAUACACAGCCAUAGAGGUGCCCUGGGACGCCACGAGUCCUCCCAGCAUGUACCAUGGACACGAGAGGGAGCUUUCAGAUGAUUCCAUGUUCCAGCCUUGAAGAUGCUCCAGCCAAUACCCAGUGGAACAGGGAUAAGUUGAUCCCACCAAGCUUUACCUCAAAUGCAGAUUCAGGAGCAAAAUAAAUGUUGUUGGUUUAAAUCACUAAGCUCAGGCUGCUUAGUCACACAGUCACCCAGUAAUGAGUGGAACACAUUUAACUUGCAGGUGGGGACUUCUUCAACCCCAUCCAUUUGCAUAUAUUGCAAACAUUUCCCAAAAUGCCUGGGCUUUCAAGUUACCCUUCCCUGGUUCAUAUGAUAUUUUCUUUAAUAUAUUUUUUAUUUCUUAUUCAUAUAAAAAUAUUUUUUUUAUUCUCAUUGCUCAUUUUAUUAAAAUUGUAGGUAAAGAGGAAAA